rnacentral:rRNA from 1 species
CCUACGUGGUGCAGCAGUGAGGAAUAUUUGUCAAUGGGCGCGAGCCUGAACCAGCCAAGUAGCGUGAAGGAUGACUGCCCUACGGGUUGUAAACUUCUUUUAUAAAGGAAUAAAGUGAGGCACGUGUGCCUUUUUGUAUGUACUUUAUGAAUAAGGAUCGGCUAACUCCGUGCCAGCAGCCGCGGUAAUACGGAGGAUCCGAGCGUUAUCCGGAUUUAUUGGGUUUAAAGGGAGCGUAGAUGGGUUGUUAAGUCAGUUGUGAAAGUUUGCGGCUCAACCGUAAAAUUGCAAUUGAUACUGGCAGUCUUGAGUACAGUUGAGGUAGGCGGAAUUCGUGGUGUAGCGGUGAAAUGCUUAGAUAUCACGAAGAACUCCGAUUGCGAAGGCAGCUUACUAAACUGCCACUGACAUUGAUGCUCGAAAGUGGGGGUAUCAAACAGGAUUAGAUACCCCAGUAGUC